GACGAACGCCGGCGGCGUGCUUAACACAUGCAAGUCGAACGGAAAGGCCCUGCUUUUGUGGGGUGCUCGAGUGGCGAACGGGUGAGUAACACGUGAGUAACCUGCCCUUGACUUUGGGAUAACUUCAGGAAACUGGGGCUAAUACCGGAUAGGAGCUCCUGCUGCAUGGUGGGGGUUGGAAAGUUUCGGCGGUUGGGGAUGGACUCGCGGCUUAUCAGCUUGUCGGUGGGUUAGUGUCUUACCAAGGCUUUGACGGGUAGCCGGCCUGAGAGGGUGACCGGCCACAUUGGGACUAAGAUACGGCCCAGAAUCCGAAGGGAGGCAGCAGUGGGGACUAUUGAACAAUGGACGGAAGCCUUAUGCAGCAACGCCGCGUGCGGGAUGACGGCCUUCGGGUUGUAAACCGCUUUCGCCUGUGACGAAGCGUGAGUGACGGUAAUGGGUAGAGAAGCACGGGCUAGCUACGUG
rnacentral:rRNA from 1 species